AUAACACGUGCUGUGGUUGAAAGUCGAUGCCAGUCGCAGGCGAAGCGAUCCACGUAAGGGCUCGAAGCGGGUCCGAUCAUAGUGCGGCCUAGAAGUAAGACCUGCCGCGAAAAGCGAGAGAACCGGUAGUGGGGGACAAAAGUCUAUGAGCGAAAGUUCCAGCAGGCGAGUGUGGGGGUAAAAACCAGGUCAGGCGUGUUGG
rfam:Megasphaera micronuciformis F0359 genomic scaffold Scfld98, whole genome shotgun sequence.